UCCUACGGGAGGCAGCAGUAGGGAAUCUUCCGCAAUGGACGAAAGUCUGACGGAGCAACGCCGCGUGAGUGAUGAAGGCUUUCGGGUCGUAAAACUCUGUUGUUAGGGAAGAACAAGUGCUAGUUGAAUAAGCUGGCACCUUGACGGUACCUAACCAGAAAGCCACGGCUAACUACGUGCCAGCAGCCGCGGUAAUACGUAGGUGGCAAGCGUUAUCCGGAAUUAUUGGGCGUAAAGCGCGCGCAGGUGGUUUCUUAAGUCUGAUGUGAAAGCCCACGGCUCAACCGUGGAGGGUCAUUGGAAACUGGGAGACUUGAGUGCAGAGGAGGAAAGUGGAAUUCCGAGUGUAGAGGUGAAAUUCGUAGAUAUUCGGAGGAACACCAGUGGCGAAGGCGGCUCGCUGGCUCACUACUGACGCUGAGGCGCGAAAGCGUGGGGAGCAAACAGGAUUAGAUACCCUGGUAGUCCACGCCGUAAACUAUGAAUGCUAGUCGUCAGGGGGCUUGCCCUUUGGUGACGCAGUUAACGCAUUAAGCACUCCGCCUGGGGAGUACGGCCGCAAGGCUGAAACUCAAAGGAAUUGACGGA
rnacentral:rRNA from 1 species